AGGAGGAACAGCCCCAGUGGCGGGGCAGCUCUGGAAACCUGGAUUCAGCCCCCGCAGUAACUCCAGAGCUCUCCGUCCUGCUCCAACUCCCCGCGAG
rnacentral:pre_miRNA from 1 species